rnacentral:tRNA from 1 species
UCCCUGUUGGCUCAGAUGAUAAAGAGUCUGCCUGCAAUGCAGGCGACCCAGGUUCAAUCCCUGGGUUGGGAA